AGAGUUGUCGUGCCGGCUGGUCCCCCACUCAACUACGACGCAUUUCAUUAUUGAUAUCUCAGAAUCUCACAUUCGCGCGUUUUUUAUUUAUUUCAUUUCGUUAUCGACUACUAUUGCAUCGUUGCGUCGCGUAUUUUAAAGCGUUUAAAUAAAAGAUCAAAUUUUAAGUUUAUAUGUAAUGACUUCAGUACUAAUAAAGAGAGAUGACCUCGUAAUAGUUGGUAAACACGUUUAUUUAAUAAUCUUACAAGGGAAAAAUGGAAACAGGCUACGUAACUUAAACUAUCUGACACAGUAUUCAAUUCGACACAUUUGAAGCAAUAAAUUGUCAUUGACAUCAUAAUAAAAUGGGAAUGAAUGAUGAUAUUACCUCAAACAUACUGAAACCUUGUAGCAGAGUAUUCAAUUUACACAUAUGAAGCAAUUGCCAUGAAUCAGAAUAGAAUGGAUACCAAGAAAGAAUACUUCAAAUUUUAUAUGUUAAUAUUAUUAAAUUGAAAAAUUAAAAAUGCCUAUAGCUUAUCAAUAUUAUGACUGAAACCUUGUAGCAGAGUAUUCAAUUUACACAUAUGAAGCAAUUGCCAUGAAUCAGAAUAGAAUGGAUACCAAGAAGAUAUUACUUCAAAUUUUAUAUGUUAAUAUUAUUAAAUUGAAAAAUUAAAAAUGCCUAUAGCUUAUCAAUAUUAUGACUGAAACCUUGUAGCAGAGUAUUCAAUUUACACAUAUGAAGCAAUUGCCAUGAAUCAGAAUAGAAUGGAUACCAAGAAGAUAUUACUUCAAAUUUUAUAUGUUAAGAUUAUUAAAUUGAAAAAUUAAAAAUGCCUAUAGCUUAUCAAUAUUAUGACUGAAACCUUGUAGCAGAGUAUUCAAUUACAAUAUGAAGCAAUUGCCA